UACAGGGGGUGCAAACGUUGCUCGGAAUUAUUGGGCGUAAAGCGCGCGUAGGCGGCUACUUAAGUCGGAUGUGAAAGCCCUCGGCUCAACUGAGGAAGUGCACCCGAAACUGAGUGGCUUGAGUACGAAAGAGGGUCGCGGAAUUCCCGGUGUAGAGGUGAAAUUCGUAGAUAUCGGGAGGAACACCGGUGGCGAAGGCGGCGACCUGGGUCGAUACUGACGCUGAUGCGCGAAAGCUAGGGGAGCGAACGGG
rnacentral:rRNA from 1 species